rnacentral:rRNA from 1 species
AGCAGUAGCCGCGGUAAUACGAAGGGUGCAAGCGUUACUCGGAAUUACUGGGCGUAAAGCGUGCGUAGGUGGUGGUUUAAGUCCGUUGUGAAAGCCCUGGGCUCAACCUGGGAAUUGCAGUGGAUACUGGGUCACUAGAGUGUGGUAGAGGAUAGUGGAAUUUCCGGUGUAGCAGUGAAAUGCGUAGAGAUCGGAAGGAACAUCUGUGGCGAAGGCGACUAUCUGGGCCAACACUGACACUGAGGCACGAAAGCGUGGGGAGCAAACAGGAUUAGAUACCCGGGUAGUCCCUGUCUCUUAUAC